rfam:Phoenicopterus ruber ruber contig87274, whole genome shotgun sequence.
GGGGGUAUGGCUCAGGGGCAGAGCAUUUGACUGCAGAUCAAGAGGUCCCCGGUUCAAAUCCGGGUGCCCCCU